rnacentral:piRNA from 1 species
UUGUCUGUGCCAUAGUACCUGGAUGCC